UACAUCUGAGGUGAUUUGGAAACUUGGC
rnacentral:piRNA from 1 species